CCUACGGGUGGCAGCAGUGAGGAAUAUUGGUCAAUGGGCGAGAGCCUGAACCAGCCAAGUCGCGUGAGGGAAGACGGCCCUACGGGUUGUAAACCUCUUUUGUCGGGGAGCAAAGCGAACCACGUGUGGUACAUUGAGAGUACCCGACGAAAAAGCAUCGGCUAACUCCGUGCCAGCAGCCGCGGUAAUACGGAGGAUGCGAGCGUUAUCCGGAUUUAUUGGGUUUAAAGGGUGCGCAGGCGGAGGUGCAAGUCAGCGGUCAAAUUGCGGGGCUCAACCCCGUACUGCCGUUGAAACUGCAUCGCUUGAGUGCGCGAGAAGUAUGCGGAAUGCGUGGUGUAGCGGUGAAAUGCAUAGAUAUCACGCAGAACUCCGAUUGCGAAGGCAGCAUACCGGCGCGCAACUGACGCUCAUGCACGAAAGCGUGGGUAUCGAACAGGACUAGAUACCCCAGUAGUC
rnacentral:rRNA from 1 species